rnacentral:rRNA from 1 species
CUUAAGCAUAUCAAUAAGCGGAGGAAAAGAAACUAACAAGGAUUCCCCUAGUAACUGCGAGUGAAGAGGGAAAAGCUCAAAUUUAAAAUCUGGCAGUCUUUGAUUGUCCGAGUUGUAAUUUAGAGAAGUGUUACCCGCGUUGGACCGUGUACAAGUUUCCUGGAAUGGAACGUCAUAGAGGGUGAGAAUCCCGUCUUUGACACGGAUCCCAAUGCAUUGUGGUGCGCUCUCGAAGAGUCGAGUUGUUUGGGAAUGCAGCUCUAAAUGGGUGGUAAAUUCCAUCUAAAGCUAAAUAUUGGGGAGAGACCGAUAGCGAACAAGUACCGUGAGGGAAAGAUGAAAAGAACUUUGGAAAGAGAGUUAAACAGUACGUGAAAUUGCUAAAAGGGAAACGCUUGAAGUCAGUCGCGUUGGCCAGGGAUCAGCCUUCCUUUUGGUUGGUGUACUUCCUGGUUGAUGGGUCAGCAUCAGUUUUGAUCGGUGGAUAAAGGUGAGAGGAAUGUGGCAUCUUCGGGUGUGUUAUAGCCUCUUAUUGUAUACAUCGGUUGGGACUGAGGAACUCAGCACGCCGCAAGGCCGGGUUUUUAACCACGUUCGUGCUUAGGAUGCUGGCAUAAUGGCUUUAAUCGACCCGUCUUGAAACACGGACCAAGGAGUCUAACAUGCCUGCGAGUGUUUGGGUGGAAAACCCGAGCGCGUAAUGAAAGUGAAAGUUGGGAUCUCUGUCGUGGAGAGCACUGACGCCCUGCCCAGACCUUUUGUGACGGUGCAGCGGUUGAGCAUGUAUGUUGGGACCCGAAAGAUGGUGAACUAUGCCUGAAUAGGGUGAAGCCAGAGGAAACUCUGGUGGAAGCUCGUAGCGAUUCUGACGUGCAAAUCGAUCGUCGAAUUU